ensembl:lncRNA
GCAUAGCAUGCUACAUACAGUCCAUGGGUAACACAGGAGGACACGACUUAGUGACUGAACAGCAAAAAGAUGAGAAAAUAGUUUCCUCCAAGAGAACCCACGAGUGUAGAUUGUAAGGCUUUGUUUCAGAGCUAAGCUUGGCCGUGUGAUGUUGAUGUGUGGGCCUUUCAUAGUAUGUCUUGGUGGGUGGUUCGUUUUAUGACACUAAAUGUUCUUCUCAAGCAGGUGGUUGGCUGGAUAGACUAAAACUAAUUAGUUUGUUCUUGGAGAAAAGUGAGCCUUAUUUUAGUUGUGUCCAGGUAGGUUAUUUGCUUGAAUUACACGCGCGUUCUAACAAGGAGUGAAAAUGUGUUACUCUGCCUGGAGUCUGCUAUAUUUUACCAUGGAAAACACAAUCAGCAGUACCAAAUGCAGGUAUAACGCUCGCUGGUUAAACCAACCCGGUCCUGCAUCUCCCGUGUUGCUGCUGAGCAAUUGAAUUUGCCUGCGACCGCGCUGUGGGCGACGCUUUCACAAGGAACGGUGCAACACUGCCACCGUGUGGUUCCCAGGUGAAAAUGGCUGAGGCAAAAAUAACAACCGUCCCCACUGAAAAGGCUACAUUGCUGCCAGAGUCUCCCAGGAGGCUUAACCUUUGCGUUUGAGCCUAGAAUUCAGAGGCAAGAGGACAGAUGAGGACUUUCCUUGGGUGGACACAAAACAUUAAUCAGAAAGUGAGGCAGUGCCUGGGUAAUCGGGUUUCACAAAGCCUUCAUCCAACCAUUAGGAACCAACUCUUAUCCUGGUCUGUAAGAGGGAAAAAAGAAAGAGACGGAACAAGAUGGGAGAUUCCGAAAACUCACCAUGACCAGUCCAGCAGUUGACUUGCCUGCUCUUGGACAUUUCUUCUCUCUUUAUUAAUUGUAUAGGACUUUUUAGUUAGUAUGAAUAUCAGAGACUCACAAACCAUAUGAAACUUUCAGGGAAAAAAAAGAAUUAUUUUUCUAAAUGAAUUAAAGAUACACCUUAGGAAGUUUAUUUACCUGAAAAGAACAAUCUCCAAAGCUCCCACAAGUGCACCUUCAGGGUUCCAAGAAUAUAUGGUUUCUUACAAUUAACUAGUAAAAAUUGAGGGUGUCAAGCACACUUCUGAUGAAGAAAAAUCUGGUUCCCUUUGUUUUUAUAGUUUCCCCAUAUUAUUAAUGGCCCCACUGCAUCCCAGGCCCUGAGUAGGCCCUCUAUGUCCAUGCUAUUUCUAAUUCCCAGGUUAGAAAUAACAGUUUGCUUUUUUUCCCUAAAUGCCUCUUUCAAAACUAAACCCGAGCACACACGUACACACACA